GUAGGUGGCAAGCGUUGUCCGGAAUUAUUGGGCGUAAAGCGCGCGCAGGCGGUCCUUUAAGUCUGAUGUGAAAGCCCACGGGCUCAACCGUGGAGGGUCAUUGGAAACUGGGGGACUUGAGUGCAGAAGAGGAAAGCGGAAUUCCAAGUGUAGCGGUGAAAUGCGUAGAGAUUUGGAGGAACACCAGUGGCGAAGGCGGCUUUCUGGUCUGUAACUGACGCUGAGGCGCGAAAGCGUGGGGAGCAAACAGGAUUAGAUACCCUGGUAGUCCACGCCGUAAACGAUGAGUGCUAAGUGUUAGGGGGUUUCCGCCCCUUAGUGCUGCAGCUAACGCAUUAAGCACUCCGCCUGGGGAGUACGGCCGCAAAGGCUG
rnacentral:rRNA from 1 species